GCUACAGGCUUAACACAUGCAAGUCGAGGGGCAGCAUUUUAGUUUGCUUGCAAACUGAAGAUGGCGACCGGCGCACGGGUGAGUAACACGUAUCCAACCUGCCGAUAACUCCGGAAUAGCCUUUCGAAAGAAAGAUUAAUACCGGAUAGCAUACGAAUAUCGCAUGAUAUUUUUAUUAAAGAAUUUCGGUUAUCGAUGGGGAUGCGUUCCAUUAGUUUGUUGGCGGGGUAACGGCCCACCAAGACAACGAUGGAUAGGGGUUCUGAGAGGAAGGUCCCCCACAUUGGAACUGAGACACGGUCCAAACUCCUACGGGAGGCAGCAGUGAGGAAUAUUGGUCAAUGGGCGAGAGCCUGAACCAGCCAAGUAGCGUGAAGGAUGAAGGCUCUAUGGGUCGUAAACUUCUUUUAUAUGGGAAUAAAGUUUUCCACGUGUGGAAUUUUGUAUGUACCAUAUGAAUAAGGAUCGGCUAACUCCGUGCCAGCAGCCGCGGUAAUACGGAGGAUCCGAGCGUUAUCCGGAUUUAUUGGGUUUAAAGGGAGCGUAGGUGGAUUGUUAAGUCAGUUGUGAAAGUUUGCGGCUCAACCGUAAAAUUGCAGUUGAAACUGGCAGUCUUGAGUACAGUAGAGGUGGGCGGAAUUCGUGGUGUAGCGGUGAAAUGCUUAGAUAUCACGAAGAACUCCGAUUGCGAAGGCAGCUCACUAGACUGUCACUGACACUGAUGCUCGAAAGUGUGGGUAUCAAACAGGAUUAGAUACCCUGGUAGUCCACACAGUAAACGAUGAAUACUCGCUGUUUGCGAUAUACAGUAAGCGGCCAAGCGAAAGCAUUAAGUAUUCCACCUGGGGAGUACGCCGGCAACGGUGAAACUCAAAGGAAUUGACGGGGGCCCGCACAAGCGGAGGAACAUGUGGUUUAAUUCGAUGAUACGCGAGGAACCUUACCCGGGCUUAAAUUGCAACAGAAUAUAUUGGAAACAGUAUAGCCGUAAGGCUGUUGUGAAGGUGCUGCAUGGUUGUCGUCAGCUCGUGCCGUGAGGUGUCGGCUUAAGUGCCAUAACGAGCGCAACCCUUAUCUUUAGUUACUAACAGGUGAUGCUGAGGACUCUAGAGAGACUGCCGUCGUAAGAUGUGAGGAAGGUGGGGAUGACGUCAAAUCAGCACGGCCCUUACGUCCGGGGCUACACACGUGUUACAAUGGGGGGUACAGAAGGCGGCUACCUGGUGACAGGAUGCUAAUCCCAAAAACCUCUCUCAGUUCGGAUCGAAGUCUGCAACCCGACUUCGUGAAGCUGGAUUCGCUAGUAAUCGCGCAUCAGCCAUGGCGCGGUGAAUACGUUCCCGGGCCUUGUACACACCGCCCGUCAAGCCAUGAAAGCCGGGGGUACCUGAAGUACGUAACCGCAAGGAGCGUCCUAGGGUAAAACUGGUAAUUGGGGCU
rnacentral:rRNA from 1 species